GUCAUAUCACGAUGAAACACUGUUUCCCGUACGAUCACCGAAGAUAAGCAACAUCAAGCCUGGUCAGUAAUUAGGUGGUUGACCGCUUGGGAAUACCAGAUACUGUAAG